rnacentral:rRNA from 1 species
AUUGAUUUUAUGCUUGCAUAAAUGAUUUUUUGGAUUCGGAGCGAGUGGCGAACUGGUGAGUAACACGUGGGUAACCUGCCCCGAAGCGGGGGAUAACAUUUGGAAACAAGUGCUAAUACCGCAUAAUUAGUUGGAACCGCAUGGUUCCAACUUGAAAGAUGGCUCUGCUAUCACUUUGGGAUGGACCCGCGCCGUAUUAGUUAGUUGGUGAGAUAAAAGCCCACCAAGACGAUGAUACGUAGCCGACCUGAGAGGGUAAUCGGCCACAUUGGGACUGAGACACGGCCCAGACUCCUACGGGAGGCAGCAGUAGGGAAUCUUCCACAAUGGACGAAAGUCUGAUGGAGCAACGCCGCGUGAGUGAUGAAGGUUUUCGGAUCGUAAAACUCUGUUAUUAAAGAAGAACAAGUGUUAGAGUAACUGUUAACACUUUGACGGUAUUUAACCAGAAAGCCACGGCUAACUACGUGCCAGCAGCCGCGGUAAUACGUAGGUGGCAAGCGUUGUCCGGAUUUAUUGGGCGUAAAGCGAGCGCAGGCGGUUUUGUAAGUCUGCUGUGAAAGCCCUCAGCUCAACUGAGGAAGUGCAGUGGAAACUACAAAACUUGAGUACAGAAGAGGAAAGUGGAACUCCAUGUGUAGCGGUGAAAUGCGUAGAUAUAUGGAAGAACACCAGUGGCGAAGGCGGCUUUCUGGUCUGUUACUGACGCUGAGGCUCGAAAGCAUGGGUAGCGAACAGGAUUAGAUACCCUGGUAGUCCAUGCCGUAAACGAUGAAUACUAGGUGUUGGAGGGUUUCCGCCCUUCAGUGCCGCAGCUAACGCAUUAAGUAUUCCGCCUGGGGAGUACGACCGCAAGGUUGAAACUCAAAGGAAUUGACGGGGGCCCGCACAAGUGGUGGAGCAUGUGGUUUAAUUCGAUGCUACGCGAAGAACCUUACCAGCUCUUGACAUCUUCUGCCAACCCAAGAGAUUGGGCGUUCCCUUCGGGGACAGAAUGACAGGUGGUGCAUGGUUGUCGUCAGCUCGUGUCGUGAGAUGUUGGGUUAAGUCCCGCAACGGGCGCAACCCUUAUUAUUAGUUGCCAGCAUUUAGUUGGGCACUCUAGUGAGACUGCCGGUGAUAAA